AGUAAAAUUAAAAUCAACGACUCACGCGGUCCAGUGUAAUAAGUGCAAGUGAAAAUAUAAUUAAAAGUGCGGUCAAGAACUGGCACUAGAAAAAUACGAAAAUCAAACCAUAAUAUUUCCUAAAACUUGUAACAAAGUGAAGGAAAACUGAAAAAAAAAUUCCUCUUAACAAGUGGAAGAAACCCAAAGUCUGCAACCCAAAAUCUAAACAAGUGGAAGAAAUCCAAAAUCUGCAACCCAAAAUCUAAAAAAUUCCUCUUAACAAGUGGAAGAAACCCGAAGUCUGCAACGGGAAUUGCAAAAAAUUCCUCCCUAAGAAGAGAACAGCAGCGGCAGCGAUAACGGCAGCAGCAGCGACAACAGCAGCGACAGCGGCGGCAGCGGCAGCGACAGCGACAAUAGCAGCGGCAGCGUCAGCGGCGGCAGCGACAACGGCUGCGGCAGUACCAGUGGCGGAAAAAGCCGUCGGCAAAACAUAGAACCCGAAGACGAAAUAAAUAUAAGAACAUGUUUUCCUUAAGGGAAAGGCUAAGGAUGCCGAUGUACCCGAUUCCUUUCCGAUUGAAAGUGAGGAGGAGCUGGUGGCGUUAGAAGUUAAAAUAUGCUCGUCUACUAAAACCGCCUAUAUUGAGACCAUCACCGCAAUUCUUAGGCGAAAUAAUUUGCCUAAGUCUAUUAAAGGAGUUUUGGCAGAGCACCUUCUUUGCGACUUCAAUAUAGACGGAUUGAAUAGAAAAAAGGCCCCUAAGGGCUUUCCAGGAUUUUUUUCGUUAUAGUCGGUAUGUAUAAUUGAGCAAAAUGUAUCAGAUUUUUUAUUUUAUUCUAAUAUACAUAUCUGUUUUGUUUACAGACAGCAUAUCUGCGUUGGGAGGCCAGCUGCCGGCGGAGAAGGCUCUUGCGCACG